rnacentral:rRNA from 1 species
UUGCGCAUGGGGGAAACCCUGNCGCAGCGACGCCGCGUGGAGGAUGAAGGUCUUCGGGUUGUAAACUCCUUUUCUUGGGGAAAAUAAUGAUGGUACCCAAGGAAUAAGCCACGGCUAACUCUGUGCCAGCAGCCGCGGUAAGACAGAGGUGGCAAGCGUUGUUCGGAAUUACUNGGGCNUUAAAGGGCGAGUAGGCNGGUGAGACAAGUCCGAGGUGGAAUCCUCUGGCUUAACCAGAGAACUGCCUUAGAUACUGUUUCACUUGAGUCAGUGAGGGGAGGGCGGAAUUCCCGGUGUAGCGGUGAAAUGCGUAGAUAUCGGGAGGAAGGCCAGUGGCGAAGGCGGCCCUCUGGCGCUGAACUGACGCUGAGGCGCGAAAGCGUGGGUAGCAANCAGGAUUAGAUACCCUGGUAGUCCACGCCCUAAACGGUGGGCAUUAGGUGUAGGGUCUGUAAAGGCUCUGUGCCGAAGGGAAACCAUUAAAUGCCCCGCCUGGGGAGUACGGCCACAAGGUUGAAACUCAAAGGAAUUGACGGA